rnacentral:rRNA from 1 species
GACGAACGCUGGCGGCGUGCCUAACACAUGCAAGUCGAACGGAGAUUUCAGCAAUGGAAUCUUAGUGGCGAACGGGUGAGUAACGCGUAGACAACCUACCUUCUAGAUGGGGACAACACUGCGAAAGUGGUGCUAAUACCGCAUGUUGUAUGUGAAACGCCUGUUUCACAUACUAAAGGUGGCCUCUAUUUAUAAGCUACCACUAGAAGAUGGGUCUGCGUCUGAUUAGCUAGUUGGUGAGGUAAUGGCUCACCAAGGCGACGAUCAGUAGCCGGUCUGAGAGGAUGAACGGCCACACUGGGACUGAGACACGGCCCAGACUCCUACGGGAGGCAGCAGUGGGGAAUCUUCCGCAUUGGACGAAAGUCUGACGGAGCAACGCCGCGUGAGUGAAGAAGGUUUUCGGAUCGUAAAACUCUGUUUUCAGGGACGAAUGUGCAAUAUGUGAAUAAUGUGUUGUAAUGACGGUACCUGACAAGAAAGCCACGGCUAACUACGUGCCAGCCGCCGCUGUAA